AACAAAACAAGGCAAAACAAUGCGCACCAACACACCGAGGCAGCCAUCCGCGGCGCCAUCUUGAUCGACUAUAUGGAAAAUACCUUGCUCAUAAUUCAUGAUUAAUGGUUAAAGAGUGAUAGAAUAUUUGAUAAAAUGAAACUGUACAGUUGAACAUUUAUAAAGUGUACUAUUUGGUUUAUUAGUAACACUUUUACACUUUUGAGGUUACAAUGAUGCCUUAAAGAAAAAAACUAAGAUUGAGAAAAGUAUUCAGUUGUUAUAAUAGCCUGUUGUCAUACAGGCUGGGUUUUUUGGAUACCUGAGAAGAAACCUGUGAACCUAGGAUUCUCUCCCUGACGAGGGAGAUGGCGAGCCGACCAGCUUGAUCAACUUGAUUCAUCUUCAUCCAUUGAGGAAGAACCCCUGAUACCCCUUGUUUCUCCCAACCCCACUCUGAAUGUCUGAUAUAAGUGAGAGCAUCAAGGACGCAGUCAUUUCUGUCCUGCCAAGUGUGCCAGAAGAAACGAUCUUACACCAGGGAGUGGAAAGCAAAGAUGACUUGCAGUACAUAAGAGAACAGGAAAUUGCAGAGGUUAUUCGACCAAUUCAGUGCAGAAAACUUUUAAAUGCAUGGAAAUGAGCAGGUUUCUGCCUCUGCUGCUGACGUUGAGAGGUCCUUAACUUUGCCUGACAGUCCUCGAUUGAUUGUUCUCGAACUCGCCUCCGCAGGCGAGGACCCCGUGGCGACGGAACCUCUCCAAACUUCGCUAUCCCUCACUGACCCCCUGUGACGACUUCACGGUCGCAGGAGGGCUAUGGAACUGCCAGUCUGCUACGCGGAAGGCUGACUUCAUUUCAGCCUACGCGUCCCUCUUCUCCCUACAUUUCCUUGCCCUCACUGAGACCUGGAUCACACCAGGCAACACUGCAACCCCUGCAGCCCUCUCCUCCUCCUUCUCCUUCUCUCACGCCUCCGCCCGUCUGGCCGUGGUGGGGGCACAGGUUUGCUGAUCUCUCCCUCUUGGAAAUUCUCUGUUCUCCCCCUUUCUCACCUCUCCAUCUCUACCUUUGAAUACCACUCUGUCUCAAUCACCUAUCCUGUUAACUUGUACAUUGUUGUUAUCUAUCGCCCUCCAGGGCCCCUGGGAAGCUUCCUCGAUGAGCUCAACACCCUGCUCAGCUCCUUCCCAGAGAAUGGUGUAGAGGGGAGUCAAACUGGGACCCAGAAAAGGCUGGCAUUUGAACGGGCCUGCAGGCUGGGACUCAUCCUGUACUUCAAAGAACCCAGAGCCGUGUGAUAAAACAAUAAGUUACUUGGACUUCCUCGGGAUAAGCAGGCCAUUUGGCUCUCUGGAAUGUUGCCAUCUGGACACAUCUAAGAUAAGGGGAACUAGUCUCUUUGUCUAUGGUUGUGGGGUAUGUGUGUUCGGGCCAUUAAGGGAAAAAAGAUCAUCAGGCCUCUGGACAAAUGGUGGGGCAACUACGCUUGACAGUUCCACAGUGCCGUUAUGUGGGCCCCUCUAUCAUUACACUUUUUAUUUAUUUUCUGGAUCUGGACUCUAAACCAUCUGUUUAUCAUAUUUACAAACCCCGGAAAACCUUACAAACCAUGCACGUGUUUUCAUUAUAUUACUGUAUUAUGCCUUAUGUAAUAAUAACAUGGAUUGCAUGUAAAAUGCUUCAACAAAAGGGUAUUUUCAUGACAACUGCACCAUAAUAUUACAUCCCCUGGACAUGUUUGGCAUAUUCAGGAAAAUUCCAGAAAUUGAAUGAAAAAUGUUUCAUACCCAAUAAAAUUUAAUAAAACAUAUUUUAAAUUGUA